GACGAACGCUGGCGGCGUGCCUAACACAUGCAAGUCGAGCGGAGAUAAUAGCAAUAUUAUCUUAGCGGCGGACGGGUGAGUAACGCGUGGGUAACCUGCCUUAUACAGGGGGAUAACACAGGGAAACUUGUGCUAAUACCGCAUAAUACCAUUGGGUGGCAUCAUCUGAUGGUCAAAGGAGUAAUCCGGUAUAAGAUGGACCCGCGUCCGAUUAGCUAGUUGGAGGUGUAACGGACCACCAAGGCGACGAUCGGUAGCCGAACUGAGAGGUUGAUCGGCCACAUUGGGACUGAGACACGGCCCAGACUCCUACGGGAGGCAGCAGUGGGGAAUAUUGCGCAAUGGGGGAAACCCUGACGCAGCAACGCCGCGUGAAGGAUGAAGGUUUUCGGAUUGUAAACUUCUUUAGUCGGGGACGAACAAAUGACGGUACCCGAAGAAUAAGCCACGGCUAACUACGUGCCAGCCGCCGCCGUAAUAC
rnacentral:rRNA from 1 species